rnacentral:tRNA from 1 species
GGGCAAGUGGCGGAAUUGGCAUACGCGCAUGGCUUAGGACCAUGUCCCGUAAGGGUUGAGGGUUCGACUCCCUCCUUGCCCA